AGCAACUGAGAAUUAAGUCAGUUGGUGGGGUGUCAGACUUGAAAUCCGAAGGUCAUGGGUUCAAUAUCCACUCAGGCUA